CAUUGAUCCAAAAGAUAAGACCAUCACCUGGCCUUUUGAGGAAUCCUCAUGUCACUGAAGCAACAGCGAAGGUUUCAUUGACAGUGGAGGCUGAGAGAAUAUAGUAUAAAAGAAGAGGGAAACAAUUUUAUUUUCUAUUAUUAAUGGUACAUCAAGAUGUGGCAGCAACAUCAGUAGAAGUGUAAUCUCCUGACUUUCUGCUCAGCUGCAAGUGGUAUGAAUCCAACUGAAGAAGUAGCAGCAAUGCAUUCAGCAGCAACAGCAGGAUCAUAAACUCCUGCAUUUCCUGCUCAGCUGCAGUGGUGUGGAUCCAGCUGUAAAAGCAGCAGUCAUGCAUUCAGCCGCAGCAGCAGGAAGAUAAACUCCUAACUUUUCUGCUCAGUUGCCCAGAUGCAGUUUCAGCAUCAAUGGCAGCACCUCCAGCAGACAGAGGGCAAGGGCAGCUAGGCUUCAGUCCAGGUUCAAUCGCAGCUUCCAGUGUCUUUAUAACACUCUUCUUUUUUGUGUUCUUUCUGUGUUUCUAAGAGCACUGUAACCAAUUGUCUGCAUUAAAUCCCUCUUUGCUUGAAAUAUUUAGAAUGACCUCUGAUUUCUGGGCUUGGCACUAACUGACAUAGAUAUGAAUCUCUC
rnacentral:lncRNA from 1 species